rnacentral:rRNA from 1 species
CCUACGGGAGGCAGCAGUGGGGAAUAUUGGACAAUGGGCGAAAGCCUGAUCCAGCCAUGCCGCGUGUGUGAAGAAGGCCUUUUGGUUGUAAAGCACUUUAAGCGGGGAGGAGGGCACCACGGUUAAUACCCGUGAAUGUCGGACGUUACCCGCAGAAUAAGCACCGGCUAACUCUGUGCCAGCAGCCGCGGUA